UUUAGAAUCACCAUCAACAAGCUCGGUUGGUAUAAUACAACCACCCACAGCAGCUAUUGAUAAGAACUCAACUACCUGUUUUCAAACCGAGAACAAUGAUUAUCAACCCUGGUUCUUGGUUGAUUUGAUGGAGACAUUUUUAAUUCGUUUUAUAGUGGUCUACAACGAGGCUGAUUAUCCUGAACGCCUCCACGACGUUAAUUAUGAAGUCUAUGAUUCUGAUCCAACGAUAAACAACUCUUCAGAGGCUAACUGCUGUGCUUCAGUGGUUAACCACAGUACAGGUAAAAACAUCAUCAGGUGUAAUAAUGGCGUCGUGGGAAGAUUUGUAAAGAUGUCUAUCGAAAAGUCAAAUUUCCUAACAGUUUGUGAAGUGGAAAUAUACGGCACCCCUAUUGAUGAAACAAGUGGCACUUUUAAUGAAAGAUGUGAAUGUAAGAAAUUACCAGGGGGUGACAACAUUGCUUUAGGAAAACCAACAACACAAAGCUCAACACUGGAUGGUAGUAGCAACCAGGG